GACAGCUGGUCCCAUAGACUGGAAGAGAGAAGGACGAGAAAGUUGUGUGAAUAUGUGAGACCGUCAAUGUGGACAGUGGACUCUCUGCCACAGAGGCUUCCCCAAGCAACAGAAGUUGCAACAGAGGCUGAAAGGGAAAUGGCCGAAAUUGCACAGUCUAACAGGGCAUAGCAGGAAAGUGGUGAUGGAACUGUUGUUGGUCAGCUUGUGCAGAUCAAUAGGUACUUUCUCAGUUUGUAACAGUGCAAUAUUGUUAGAUCAAUGAAUAUAAUUCAUCUCCCUGGUAAAAGUAUUUAGAACCUUUCCGAUGACCGAAAAGGCGUGGAGAGGAAGAACAGCAUCCCCCAUCGAUGGUGCUCCACCAGCAGUCGCUUCAACUCAUCAGUUCUAUGAUAUUUCUCGGUGGGCAAACACAAUAAUACAUUUUAUUCUUUGCUGUUUCUGAACUUGUUUCGGUUGGUAAUGGUCUAUUGUCGGAUGGUAAUAGAGUAAUUGUAUAGCAGCCCUUGUCAUUUUUCAAUGUUUUGCCUUUGUCUAUUUGUUGUGUGUUUCUUGUUUAUUGAACAUGUCCAUUCUGUUUUAAUGUAUGUCAUUGUAUUCCUGUCAUUUGUUUAAAAUGUAAGUAUCUGUGGACAUUUCUGUGUAAUUGUUAGAUGUGAGCCUGGUAUACCCCAACCUGAGUCGAAUGGAAUAGACAGGUUUGCUUCUUCCAAGGUAUUGUAUUUUCAUUGACCUGUUUGUUGUGGAGUUUGUAUAUCAAUUAAGAUAAUUUUGUAAAUAUUGUCAUUUGAACAUCUAUAUCACCAUUGUCAUCUUUAAAUAAAAUAAUUACU